GAUCCUGGCUUAGGAUGAACGCUAGCGACAGGCCUAACACAUGCAAGUCGAGGGGCAGCACGAAGGAAGCUUGCUUCUUGGUGGCGACCGGCGCACGGGUGCGUAACAGGUGUGCAAUCUGUCCAUAGUCGGGGGAUAGCCCAGCGAAAGCUGAAUUAAUACUCCAUGUGAAUCGAAGCCGCAUGACUUUGAUUUGAAACGCAAGGACUAUGGGUGAGCACGCUUCUGAUUAGAUAGUUGGUGGGGUAACGGCUCACCAAGUCGACGAUCAGUAGGGGUUCUGAGAGGAAGGUCCCCCACAUUGGAACUGAGACACGGUCCAAACUCCUACGGGAGGCAGCAGUGAGGAAUAUUGGUCAAUGGGCGAGAGCCUGAACCAGCCAAGUCGCGUGAAGGAUGAAGGUUCUAUGGAUUGUAAACUUCUUUUGUCCGAGGGUAAAAAAGGCCACGUGUGGCUUCUUGCAAGUAUCGGACGAAUAAGCAUCGGCUAACUCCGUGCCAGCCGCCGC
rnacentral:rRNA from 1 species